GACGAACGCUGGCGGCGUGCCUAACACAUGCAAGUCGAGCGAGGGACUUCGGUCCCUAGCGGCGGACGGGUGAGUAACACGUGGGUAACCUGCCUCAUAGAGGGGGAUAGCCUCCCGAAAGGGAGAUUAAUACCGCAUAAUAUCAUGCUGUCGCAUGACAGUAUGAUUAAAGGAGCAAUCCGCUAUGAGAUGGACCCGCGGCGCAUUAGCUAGUUGGUGAGGUAACGGCUCACCAAGGCGACGAUGCGUAGCCGACCUGAGAGGGUGAUCGGCCACAUUGGAACUGAGACACGGUCCAGACUCCUACGGGAGGCAGCAGUGGGGAAUAUUGCACAAUGGGCGAAAGCCUGAUGCAGCAACGCCGCGUGAGUGAAGAAGGCCUUCGGGUUGUAAAGCUCUGUCUUUUGGGACGAUAAUGACGGUACCAAAGGAGGAAGCCACGGCUAACUACGUGCCAGCCGCCGCUGUAAAAC
rnacentral:rRNA from 1 species